UGCCGACCGGGUGUCUGCACUAAGCUUCGGCAUGAAUAUGGUGACCUCCUGGGAGCAGGGGCCACCAGGUUGCCUAAGGAUGAGUGAACUGGCCCAGAUCAGAAAGGGAGCAGUUCAGAACUCCGGCACCGACUGGUAGCAGGACUGUGCCUGGGCA
ensembl:misc_RNA Metazoa_SRP Metazoan signal recognition particle RNA